AGCUCCAAUAGCGUAUAUUUAAGUUGUUGCAGUUAAAAAGCUCGUAGUUGGAUUUCGGAGUCGGGCGACCGGUCCGCCGUUUCGGUGUGCACUGGUCCGACCCGUCUUUUUCUGUCGGGGACGCGCGCUCCUUCAUUGGGGACGCGGAGUCGGCGCUGUUACUUUGAAAAAAUUAGAGUGUUCAAGGCAGGCUUACGCUCUGAAUACUAUAGCAUGGAAUAACGCGAUAGGACUCCGGGCCUAUUUCGUUGGUCUUCGGGACCGGAGUAAUGAUUAAGAGGGACAGUUGGGGGCAUUUGCAUUCCGGUGUCAGAGGUGAAAUUCUUGGAUUUCCGGAAGACAAACUUCUGCGAAAGCAUUUGCCAAGGAUGUUU
rnacentral:rRNA from 1 species